CGGCGUGCUUAACACAUGCAAGUCGAACGAACCUUCGGGUUAGUGGCGGACGGGUGAGUAACGCGUGAGAAUCUGCCCUCAGGAGGGGGAUAACAGUUGGAAACGACUGCUAAUACCCCAUAUGCCGAGAGGUGAAACGAAUUUUGCCUGGGGAUGAGCUCGCGUCUGAUUAGCUUGUUGGUGGGGUAAAAGCCUACCAAGGCUUCGAUCAGUAGCUGGUCUGAGAGGACGAUCAGCCACACUGGGACUGAGAUACGGCCCAGACUCCUACGGGAGGCAGCAGUGGGGAAUUUUCCGCAAUGGGCGCAAGCCUGACGGAGCAACGCCGCGUGAGGGAUGAAGGCCUUUGGGCUGUAAACCUCUUUUCUCAACGAAGAAGAUCUGACGGUACUUGAGGAAUAAGCCACGGCUAAUUCCGUGCC
rnacentral:rRNA from 1 species